ensembl:snRNA U6 U6 spliceosomal RNA
GUGCUUGCUCAGGCAGCAUACCUAAUAAAUUGGAAUCGAUACAGAGAAGAUUAGCAUGGCCCCUGCACAAAGCUACCUUCAGGAUUGUUGAGGGGUGGGUUAGGUGA